AUUCAUUAUUUCUAUCAUUCGCGAUAAAAUAUUAGAGAUAUUAAAGAUAUUAAAAUGCAACAUUUAAUAAUUUUUUCUUUAAUAUUUUGUGCGAUCUUUAUCCACACAGGACAUACAUACGAAAAUGUAGAUUCGGAUGCAAGUAUGUUGGCAUAUAAUUAUUUAACAACCAAAAAACUUUAAGGGUAACGAAGAAUUUUUUUUUUUUUCCAUAAAUUUA